GUCCAAGUAUAGCUCAGUAGCCCAUGUGGAGAUCAUUGUAAUUUGGCACUUAUCUUCCUUUUUAGUACUAUAAAGACUAUCAAGUUUCCGUGUUAAGAAAGUCCUCAGAGCGUCCUGCUCACCUAUAGCAAUAAACUUUAAGCUGAUCUCCUCAAAUGACACCAUAUAGUUUAUAUGAUCUAACGAAGCCCCUUGGGCUGCAAGAGUCAAGGUAGGGAGGGUGACUAUUGCUUUUCUUGCUUCUGAACCAUUGUCAGCGAGAUCUCUUUCUCGGUCGGAGGCAGUUGUUUGCCGGAUAUUACAAGGGGAAAGGAUACCGGAGUUCUGAUACUCUAAAGAUGUUUUACAUUAUGAUGAAAUAUGGGAUCCCCCAGCUUGACAAAGAAAACAAAAGGGAAAAGGCAAAAGAAUCAUGUUAAGCUUUAAAUGGUUGAAAGGACCCUAAUGUGUAUAUAAGCCAUUAAAAAAAGGGAAACAAAAGCAGAAAAGGACUUCCUAGAUAACAGCAGUUAAAGGUAAGAAGUUUUACCCUAAGUUAGAACCAAGAGCACAAGCAUUUUAAGACAGGAAGUAGAUGAAACUAAUUAUAUAAAUGCCUAGCUAAGUUGGAGUCAAACACAUUUGUUGAAAUAACAACUUCCAUAGCCUUAAUAUUUGUUCCAUACAUCAACCAAGCGCUACCAUCUGAUUCUAUCUAAAGAAUCUCCUUGAUUAUUUAAUACCAUUUAAUUCUUAGACAUCAGAUCCAUACAGUAAAGCUGAUGAACAAUGCUUUAGAUGACUUUAUCAAAUCUCAAAAGCGCGGAAUGAUAAACUCAUGGCUUUUAUAUUCUUUUAUCAACUCUGUGGCAUGCAGCAACCAUGCAACAGAAUAGAUAGUAGUGAUCAGCACCAGCAUGCUUGAUCUGUACUAGAAAUAUCAUCAUCCACCACCCUUUGAUUAUGUAGAAAAGGUACAGAAAAGAAAAAUUGAAACACUUAAAUCCAAAAAUCACUCAGAUUGAAUACAAAUAAUUAGGAGGCAAAUCAAGUCACUGAUUAAUAUAUCACAAAAAUAUGAAAAAAUGAUAUUAGAAAAUGAGGACUGACUCGUCCAUUGCAUGAAUCAGAGAUCUCACCUUUGCAUACAAGGAUGCUGCUCUCUCAAAAUCUUUUGCAGAAAAAGCAGCUUCAGCCUG
rnacentral:lncRNA from 1 species